rnacentral:rRNA from 1 species
AGUAACCUGCCUCUAAGAGAGGAAUAACAUUCUGAAAAGAAUGCUAAUACCGCAUAACAUAUAUUUAUCGCAUGGUAGAUAUAUCAAAGAUUUAUCGCUUAGAGAUGGACUCGCGUCCGAUUAGUUAGUUGGUGAGGUAACGGCUCACCAAGACUGCGAUCGGUAGCCGGACUGAGAGGUUGAACGGCCACAUUGGGACUGAGACACGGCCCAG